CGGUAAUUCCAGCUCCAAUAGCGUAUACUAAAGUUGUUGCAGUUAAAAAGCUCGUAGUUGGAUUUCUGCGGGGACGGAGCGGCCGGACGCAACUUGCGUCUCGAGCUAGCGCUUUCCCCGCAUCCUGCCGCGAACCGUGCUACCAUUAGUUUGGUGGCGCCGGGGAUCGGCUCGAUUACUUUGAGAAAAAUAGAGUGUUCAAAGCAGGCCACACGCCUUGAAUAAGUUAGCAUGGAAUAAUGACUAAGGACUUUGGUUCUUUUCGUUGGUGUUCGGGACUGAAGUAAUGAUUGAUAGGGACAGUUGGGGCGGUCCGUAUUCCAAAGCGAGAGGUGAAAUUCUUAGACCUUCGGAAGACGAACAGCUGCGAAAGCGUUCCGCAAGGAUGUUCCCUUUGAUCAAGAACGAAAGUUGGGGGAUCGAAGACGAUCAGAUACCGUCGUAGUCUCAACUAUAAACUAUACCAGCUAGGGAUCGGCCAACGUUUAACUUUAUCGACUUGGUCGGCACCUUAUGAGAAAUCAAGGCAUCUGGGUUCCGGGGGGAGUAUGGUCGCAAGGCUGAAACUUAAAGGAAUUGACGGAAGGGCACCACCAGCCGUGGAGCCUGUGGCUUAAUUUGACUCAACACGGGAAAACUUACCAGGUCCAGACAUAGGAAGGAUUGACAGAUUGAUAGCUCUUUCUUGAUUCUGUGGGUGGUGGUGCAUGGCCGUUUUUAGUCGGUGGAUGUGAUCUGUCUGCUUAAUUGCGUUAACGGACGAGACCCCAGCCUGCUAAAUAGCGCGGCCGAGCUUUGCUCGGUGCGAGCUUCUUAGAGGGACCAUGAUGCGCGAUAGCACAAGGAAGUUUGGGGCAACAACAGGUCUGUGAUGCCCUUAGAUGUUCUGGUCCGCACACGGGCUACACUGGCGCCUGCAACGAGCAUAUCAGCUGGCCCGAGAGGGUCUUGGCUAAUCUUUGGAACCGGCGCCGUGCUUGGGAUUGACCAUUGCAAUUGUUGGUUAUGCAACGAGGAAUGCCUUGUAAACUGCGAGUCAUCAGCUCGCAUUGAAUACGUCCCUGCCCCUUGUACACACCGCCC
rnacentral:rRNA from 1 species